rnacentral:rRNA from 1 species
CGCAUCUGUGCAUGCAGCAUAUCAAUAAGCGGAGGAAAAGAAACUAACAAGGAUUCCCCUAGUAACGGCCGAGUGAAGCGGGAAGAGCUCAAAUUUGAAAUCUUAAAGGGUUUCCCUUUACGAAUUGUAGUUUAAAGAAGUGUUUUCUGUUGAGGUUUUGGUAAAAGUUCUUUGGAAUAGGACAUCAUAGAGGGUGAGAAUCCCGUAUUUGACCUUUACUUUCAACUUUGUGAUACACUUUCAAAGAGUCGGAUUGUUUGGGAAUGCAGUCCAAAAUGGGUGGUAAAUUUCAUCUAAAGCUAAAUAUUGGCGAGAGACCGAUAGCGAACAAGUACCGUGAGGGAAAGAUGAAAAGAACUUUGAAAAGAGAGUUAAACAGUACGUGAAAUUGUCAAAAGGGAAGCAGUUUGACACCAGUGUUGUUUUUCUGAAAAUCAAUUAAAGAACUGUUUAUGCUAAGUUGUUUAGACUUUAUCAGCUAACUGUUUAGUUUUGAGCUUUUCUUUAAUGCACUUUUCAGUUAACAAGUCAACAUCAAUUUCUUUUGCUGUAAAAAAGCUUGAGGAAGGUGGCUUGAGAUUCGUCUUAAGUGUUUAUAGCCUCUUGCCUAUGCAGUCGGAGAGAUUGAGGUCUGCAGCGUAGAUCCUUCGGGGCUAAAUGCAUUUGUGCUAAGUUAUAGCAUUUUAUAGACAACUUGUUGACUAUGAUUUGUCUUGUAGCUUACUCGCUUAUGUUAUUUUACCUACGCUUAGGAUAUUGAACGCGCACAGAGUCUC